rnacentral:lncRNA from 1 species
UCUAUUCGAAAGAAGGAGAAAAUUUGACUUUUAACCAGAUAUUUUUCACCUCAUUUUUUUAGAUUUAGGGACAAAAAAUAUUCUAAAAUAACAUAGUAUUAUUUCAUCCCUUUGAGCCUGAAACAAAGGAAGAGUUAGUAAACAUACCAAAAACUUGCAUAUGGAGAGAACCUGAGCUCACAGAAUAUGGCAGCUUUGUGAAUAUAUUUGCAUGAUAAACUUCAC